GGUAAAUCACAACACCAGGAGUUGAUCUGCAUGGAAAAGAUGGUGGUUUGUGUUAGGAAAGAGAUUGCAACCACAGAGAGAUGGAGAGAAUACAUUGAUACUGCAUUUCAAAUUGGCUAGAUCAAAAGGAACAGCAGCUAAAAUCCAUUACAACCCAAUUACAUCCAUCAGCUGAAGCUGUGUGCAUUCACUCGUGAACAUCAGCAUUUAAUCCAUAAAGAGGAACUAAUGAGAAAUUUGAAAAUGGAAUCCACGCAUCAAUGGAGGAUAUUAGUGAGAGGAUGGUUCUCUUGGCCUUUUUUCUUGGACUUGCAGUCAGCAUGGUGGC